GCGGACUUCAGAAGCGGCGGGGGGGUAAGAGGAAUGGUGGAAGUGUUAUCCUGAAUGGAUGGGGGUAAAGGGUUGUGGGAGGGGAUGUUAAGGUUGUUGUUAAAGGGUCAGGCCUAACUGGGGUAUUGCGAUGAAGACUGGCGUGCUAGAGGGUGAGAGAGAGAAGUGGAAUUCCCGGAGUAGCGGUAAAAUGCGUGGAUCGCGGGAGGAACACCAAUGGCGAAGGCAGCUUCUUGGCUCAUUCCUGACGUUGAGGCACGAAAGCGUGGGGAGCAAACAGGAUUAGAUACCCCUGUAGUC
rnacentral:rRNA from 1 species